AUUGAACGCUGGCGGCAGGCCUAACACAUGCAAGUCGAGCGGAUGAAGGGAGCUUGCUCCUGGAUUCAGCGGCGGACGGGUGAGUAAUGCCUAGGAAUCUGCCUGGUAGUGGGGGAUAACGUCCGGAAACGGGCGCUAAUACCGCAUACGUCCUGAGGGAGAAAGUGGGGGAUCUUCGGACCUCACGCUAUCAGAUGAGCCUAGGUCGGAUUAGCUAGUUGGUGGGGUAAAGGCCUACCAAGGCGACGAUCCGUAACUGGUCUGAGAGGAUGAUCAGUCACACUGGAACUGAGACACGGUCCAGACUCCUACGGGAGGCAGCAGUGGGGAAUAUUGGACAAUGGGCGAAAGCCUGAUCCAGCCAUGCCGCGUGUGUGAAGAAGGUCUUCGGAUUGUAAAGCACUUUAAGUUGGGAGGAAGGGCAGUAAGUUAAUACCUUGCUGUUUGACGUUACCAACAGAAUAAGCACCGGCUAACUUCGUG
rnacentral:rRNA from 1 species